UGGUGGUGCAUGGCCGUUCUUAGUUGGUGGAGUGAUUUGUCUGGUUAAUUCCGAUAACGAACGAGACCUUAACCUGCUAACUAGUUCUCAAUACUCUGUAUUCUGCAACUUCUUAGAGGGACUAUGUAAAUCAAUUACAUGGAAGUUUGAGGCAAUAACAGGUCAGUGAUGCCCUUAUAUGUCCUGGGCUGCACGCGUGCUACACUGAUGCAUAGAACAAGUGCCUAGCCAGAUAUGGUAUGGCAAUCUCGAAUAUGCAUCGUGAUGGGGAUAGAUCUUUGCAAUUA
rnacentral:rRNA from 1 species